GUAGGUGGCAAGCGUUGUCCGGAAUUAUUGGGCGUAAAGCGCGCGCAGGCGGUUCUUUAAGUCUGAUGUGAAAGCCCACGGCUCAACCGUGGAGGGUCAUUGGAAACUGGGGAACUUGAGUACAGAAGAGGAAAGCGGAAUUCCACGUGUAGCGGUGAAAUGCGUAGAGAUGUGGAGGAACACCAGUGGCGAAGGCGGCUUUCUGGUCUGUAACUGACGCUGAGGCGCGAAAGCGUGGGGAGCAAACAGGGAUUAGAUACCCUGGUAGUCCACGCCGUAAACGAUGAGUGCUAAGUGUUAGGGGGUUUCCGCCCCCUUAGUGCUGCAGCUAACGCAUUAAGCACUCCGCCUGGGGAUACGGCCGCAAGGCUG
rnacentral:rRNA from 1 species